rnacentral:rRNA from 1 species
GACGAACGCUGGCGGCGUGCCUAACACAUGCAAGUCGCACGGAGUGGCGAACGGGUGAGUACCACGUGGGUGAUCUGCCUUGCACUUCCGGAUAAGCUUGGGAAACUCGGUCUAAUACCGGCUAGUGCAAGAUGAUCUCGCGGGCUAUCGGCUUGUUGGUGGGGUAAUGGCCUCCCAAGGCGUCGACGGGUCGCCGGCCUGAGAGGGGGUACGGACACAUUGGGACUGAGAUACGGCCCAGUCGCCAACGGGAGGCAGCGGUGGGGAAUAUUGCACAAUGUACGGGAGCCUGCUGCAGCGACGCUGGGUGGGGGAUACAGGGCUUCGGGUUGUAAACUCCUUUGGACAGGGACGCGGUACCUGUAUAGGAAGCACCGGCUAACUACGUGCCAGCAGCCGCGGUAAUUC